rnacentral:rRNA from 1 species
GACGAACGCUGGCGGCGUGCUUAAAAACAUGCAAGUCGAACGGACUUCUCAUGAAGCUUGCGAUUGAGAAGUUAGUGGCGGACGGGUGAGUAACGCGUGGGCAACCUGCCCCUGAGCCCGGGAUAACAGUUCGAAAGGACUGCUAAGACCGGAUAUACUUGCGGGGAAGCAUUUCACUGCAAGGAAAGGGAACGCUCAGGGAUGGGCCCGCGUCCCAUUAGCUAGUUGGUGAGGUAACGGCCCACCAAGGCGACGAUGGGUAGCCGGCCUGAGAGGGUGAACGGCCACACUGGGACUGAGACACGGCCCAGACUCCUACGGGAGGCAGCAGUUGGGAAUCUUCGGCAAUGGGCGCAAGCCUGACCGAGCAACGCCGCGCGAGUGAUGAAGGUUUUCGGAUUGUAAAGCUCUGUCUUCCGGGACGAUAAUGACGGUACCGGAGGAGGAAGCCACGGCUAACUACGUG